rnacentral:rRNA from 1 species
AUUGAACGCUGGCGGCAGGCCUAACACAUGCAAGUCGAGCGAGCGGCGGACGGGUGAGUAAUGUAUGGGGAUCUGCCCGAUAGAGGGGGAUAACUACUGGAAACGGUAGCUAAUACCGCAUACCAUCAGAUGAACCCAUAUGGGAUUAGCUAGUAGGUAAGGUAACGGCUUACCUAGGCGACGAUCCCUAGCUGGUCUGAGAGGAUGAUCAGCCACACUGGGACUGAGACACGGCCCAGACUCCUACGGGAGGCAGCAGUGGGGAAUAUUGCACAAUGGGCGCAAGCCUGAUGCAGCCAUGCCGCGUGUAUGAAGAAGGCCUUCGGGUUGUAAAGUACUUUUGGCAGAGAAGCGGUAUCUGCAGAAUAAGCACCGGCUAACUACGUGCCAGCAGCCGCGGUAAUUC